UUUCAGAAGCUCACAUUUCACCUUUAUAUUUACAGAUAUACAGAUAGAUAGCUAUGCUCAUGUUUUAAUUUUGGUAUAUCAUCGUUUUUAUCAGUUACGUCUAAAUCAGAGAAUGUGGAAGAAAAUGCUCCGUAGGACCAGUAACUUCGAAUGCUCACUAGUAGGAAGAAGAUUAAAAUCUGUGGAGCUGCGGCAUCUUGAAUCUGUCCCUAUAACUCAGGCCAUGCUCAGCUUUUGGCGGCCUCGCAAAGCCUUUUCCCCGCACCAGUAUUCCCGGCUUCCAUUUGGCCCCAGCUGUCUCCCUUCCCGCUCUGUACUUACAAUGAGUUUAUUUCUGUUCUUUGUCGUGACUUUCUCCUUUCUUUUCUGAAGUCAUCCCUCCCUCCCCCCAUUAUUACUAGAUGGCUAAAAUAGAUUGGAGAGUACCCAGGACGGAGAGCACUCCACGCUGCAGGGAUCAUCAACGAGACCAGAAACCCCCAGGCGCUCAGGGCAGCUGGGAUCCGCGGUUUCAGGUUCCUCACUGCGGGGCGCUGCGGCCAUGGCCCGGGUUUAGUGCGCGGAGCUGCGUGGCGGGACUGGGAAUGCUGCACUUUCCCAUGCCCGGUGACCAUACGAAGACUUUGGAGAAGCCAAAUAUUUAUCCCAAACCACAUCUCCUGACAUCCAUAACAGAUGCUGAAUGUUCCGUGUCCGUCCCGGGCUGCUGGCUGAUUUGAAUCCCCUCCCUGUGCCUGCUAAGUGUCAGCUCUGGAGGCCACCCCCACAGUGUCCCUCCUGCAGGUAUCCCUUUGCCUUCACCACUUAGUUCUUCAGGUGAUGACAUCAGCCCUCCCCUUCACCAACCUUUUUCAAGUUUUCUUCCUCUCUUUCACUCUCUCUCUUGCCAAACUUUAUUUGUACUUAAAAAAAAAAGUAAGUAGACACCAAAAUUAAAAUGGAAAACUAUCUGAGAGCUG
ensembl:lincRNA